rnacentral:tRNA from 1 species
GGUGCGCUCUUCUAUCGGUUAAGAACACCCGUUGUCUGCGGGAAAAGCGGGGUUCGAUUCCCCGGCGCAUCGCCA